GACGAACCGUGCGAACGUUAUUCGGAAUCACUGGGCCUAAAGCGCGUGUAGGCGGGACGGCACGUCGGUCGCUGAAAGCCCCCGGCUCAACCGGGGAACGGGCGCCGAUACGACCGUCCUGGAGGGACGUAGGGGGACCUGGAACUUCCGGUGGAGCGGUGAAAUGCGUUGAGAUCGGAAGGAACGCCCGUGGCGAAAGCGAGGUCCUGGACGUUUUCUGACGCUGAGACGCGAAAGCCAGGGGAGCGAACGGG
rnacentral:rRNA from 1 species